rnacentral:rRNA from 1 species
UACAGAGGUCUCAAGCGUUGUUCGGAUUCAUUGGGCGUAAAGGGCGUGUAGGCGGUCUGUUAAGUCAUGUGUGAAAUCCCUCGGCUCAACCGGGGAACGACGCAUGAAACUGACAAGCUAGAGUACCAAAGAGGGGGGUGGAAUUCCCGGUGUAGCGGUGAAAUGCGCAGAUAUCGGGAGGAACACCAGUGGCGAAGGCGGCACUCUGGGCCGGAACUGACGCUGAGGAGCGAAAGCGUGGGGAGCGAACAGG